rnacentral:RNase_P_RNA from 1 species
CGAGCAGUCCAGACAGCGGCGGAUGAGGGCCGAAAGGCCCCAUCUGAGGAAAGUCCGAGCUUCACAGGGCAAGGGUAGCUGCUAACGGCAGCCGGAGGCGACUCUAGGGACAGUGCAACAGAGAGAUACCGCCGGACGGGGGUUUCCCCCGGACCGGUAAGGGUGGAAAGGCGAGGUAAAAGCUCACCAGCGCCCGGGAGACCGGGCGGCUAUGUAAACCCUACCCGAAGCAACACCGCACAGGGGCAAUAACGGCGGCCCGCCGGUCCCGCUUAGGUGGCUGGAGUCCGGCGGCGACGCCGGACCAAGAUAGAUCGUUGUCAAAUACAGAACUCGGCUUACAGAACUGGUCGCGCA